GAUGAACGCUGGCGGCGUGCUUAACACAUGCAAGUCGAACGGUGAAGGUGGGAGCUUGCUCCUGCUGGAUCAGUGGCGAACGGGUGAGUAACACGUGAGUAACCUGCCCCGGACUCUGGGAUAAGCGUUGGAAACGACGUCUAAUACCGGAUACGAGACGAGAAGGCAUCUUCAUCGUCUGGAAAGAUUUUUUGGUCUGGGAUGGACUCGCGGCCUAUCAGGUUGUUGGUGAGGUAAUGGCUCACCAAGCCUACGACGGGUAGCCGGCCUGAGAGGGUGACCGGCCACACUGGGACUGAGACACGGCCCAGACUCCUACGGGAGGCAGCAGUGGGGAAUAUUGCACAAUGGGCGAAAGCCUGAUGCAGCAACGCCGCGUGAGGGACGACGGCCUUCGGGUUGUAAACCUCUUUUAGUAGGGAAGAAGCGAAAGUGACGGUACCUGCAGAAAAAGCACCGGCUAACUAUGUGCCAGCAGCCGCCGCCG
rnacentral:rRNA from 1 species